rnacentral:rRNA from 1 species
UACGUAGGGGGCGAGCGUUGUCCGGAAUUAUUGGGCGUAAAGAGCUCGUAGGCGGUUUGUCACGUCGGCCGUGAAAACUCGGGGCUUAACCCCGGGCCUGCAGUGGGUACGGGCAGACUAGAGUGCGGUAGGGGAGACUGGAAUUCCUGGUGUAGCGGUGAAAUGCGCAGAUAUCAGGAGGAACACCGGUGGCGAAGGCGGGUCUCUGGGCCGUAACUGACGCUGAGGAGCGAAAGCAUGGGGAGCGAACAGG